UCCGAGUUGACCCCGGCAGUCUCCGAUGAGUCCCCGGCAUCACCCGCUGGCAACAUCGGACAAGGGUUGCGCUCGUUGCGGGACUUAACCCAACACCUCACGGCACGAGCUGACGACAGCCAUGCAGCACCUGAGCAGGAUGGUAUUGCUACCUCGUUGGGCUUUCACCCUUCUACUACCUGCAUGUCCAGCCUGGGUAAGGUUCUUCGCGUUGCGUCGAAUUAAACCACAUGCUCCACCGCUUGUGCGGGCCCCCGUCAAUUCCUUUGAGUUUCAACCUUGCGGUCGUACUUCCCAGGUGGGAUACUUAAUGCUUUCGCUCAGACACCAAGCAUCCAUCGUUUAAGGCCAGGACUAC
rnacentral:misc_RNA from 1 species